rnacentral:rRNA from 1 species
GCAUAUCAAUAAGCGGAGGAAAAGAAACUAACCAGGAUUCCCUUAGUAACGGCGAGCGAAACGGGAAAAGUCCAACUUGAAAAUCUCCACUAUUGUGGCGAAUUGUAGUCUAUAGAAGCUUUCUCUGCUUCUGCCCCUGCCCAAGUUCCCUGGAACGGGACGUCAGAGAGGGUGAGAGCCCCGUCGGCAGGGUGUCAGUUGCUCCACGAGAUGUUUUCGCAGAGUCGGGUUGUUUGGGAAUGCAGCCCUAAGUUGGUGGUAAGUCCCAUCUAAGACUAAAUACUGGCGAGAGACCGAUAGCGAACAAGUACCGUGAGGGAAAGGUGAAAAGAACUUUGAAAAGAGAGUUAAAAAGUGCUUGAAAUUGUUGAGGGGGAAGCCAUUGGCGGCUGGGAUGCAACCGGGCUAGAAAUGCACCUUAACGGGUGCAUGUCACGCGCCGGACGCUGGUCAGCAUGGGUUGCGGCUGCGGGAUAAACCUUUCUUUGUCGAAAGUCUAUGACGCGGCUGUGACCGAGGAACGAAGGGCGCUUUGACUUUGAUCUGCGUCCUCAAGAUGCUGGCAUAAGGCUGCCAAUGGGCCCGUCUUGAAACACGGACC